rnacentral:rRNA from 1 species
CGGCGUGCUUAACACAUGCAAGUCGAACGGAAAGGCCCUGCUUUUGUGGGGUGCUCGAGUGGCGAACGGGUGAGUAACACGUGAGUAACCUGCCCUUGACUUUGGGAUAACUUCAGGAAACUGGGGCUAAUACCGGAUAGGAGCUCCUGCUGCAUGGUGGGGGUUGGAAAGUUUCGGCGGUUGGGGAUGGACUCGCGGCUUAUCAGCUUGUUGGUGGGGUAGUGGCUUACCAAGGCUUUGACGGGUAGCCGGCCUGAGAGGGUGACCGGCCACAUUGGGACUGAGAUACGGCCCAGACUCCUACGGGAGGCAGCAGUGGGGAAUAUUGCACAAUGGGCGGAAGCCUGAUGCAGCAACGCCGCGUGCGGGAUGACGGCCUUCGGGUUGUAAACCGCUUUCGCCUGUGACGAAGCGUGAGUGACGGUAAUGGGUAAAGAAGCACCGGCUAACUACGUGCCAGCAGCCGCGGUGAUACGUAGGGUGCGAGCGUUGUCCGGAUUUAUUGGGCGUAAAGGGCUCGUAGGUGGUUGAUCGCGUCGGAAGUGUAAUCUUGGGGCUUAACCCUGAGCGUGCUUUCGAUACGGGUUGACUUGAGGAAGGUAGGGGAGAAUGGAAUUCCUGGUGGAGCGGUGGAAUGCGCAGAUAUCAGGAGGAACACCAGUGGCGAAGGCGGUUCUCUGGGCCUUUCCUGACGCUGAGGAGCGAAAGCGUGGGGAGCGAACAGGCUUAGAUACCCUGGUAGUCCACGCUGUAAACGGUGGGUACUAGGUGUGGGGUCCAUUCCACGGGUUCCGUGCCGUAGCUAACGCUUUAAGUACCCCGCCUGGGGAGUACGGCCGCAAGGCUAAAACUCAAAGGAAUUGACGGGGCCCCGCACAAGCGGCGGAGCAUGCGGAUUAAUUCGAUGCAACGCGUAGAACCUUACCUGGGUUUGACAUGGAUCGGGAGUGCUCAGAGAUGGGUGUGCCUCUUUUGGGGUCGGUUCACAGGUGGUGCAUGGCUGUCGUCAGCUCGUGUCGUGAGAUGUUGGGUUAAGUCCCGCAACGAGCGCAACCCUUGUUCACUGUUGCCAGCACGUUAUGGUGGGGACUCAGUGGAGACCGCCGGGGUCAACUCGGAGGAAGGUGGGGAUGACGUCAAGUCAUCAUGCCCCUUAUGUCCAGGGCUUCACGCAUGCUACAAUGGCUGGUACAGAGAGUGGCGAGCCUGUGAGGGUGAGCGAAUCUCGGAAAGCCGGUCUCAGUUCGGAUUGGGGUCUGCAACUCGACCUCAUGAAGUCGGAGUCGCUAGUAAUCGCAGAUCAGCAACGCUGCGGUGAAUACGUUCCCGGGGCUUGUACACACCGCCCGUCAAGUCAUGAAAGUUGGUAACACCCGAAGCCGGUGGCCUAACCGUUGUGGGGGAGCCGUCGAAGGUGGGACUGGUGAUUAGGACUAAGUCAUA